GAAGAGAUUUUGAAUAGAAAAAAACAUUUUUCUCUUUUCUCCUUCUUCAUAUUUGCCUUUUCAUGAUUCUCUUAAUCUUUGUGUUUGGAUAUCAAGCUUUCAUUUAUUUCUGGUCUUUUCCUUACAAAUACUUGGAAAUCUUCUAUUUUGUUGAAUACCCAUACUUUCCCCUGGAAGUAUACAGUCAGUUUUGAUGGAUAUGUGAUUCUUGGUUGAAGACCCAGUUCUCUUGCCUUUCUGAAUAUCGUCUUCCAGGCCUUGCAGUCCUUUAGUGUGGAAGCUGCCAGGUCUUGUGUGAUCCUGAUUCGUCCUCUUUGGUAUCUGAAUUUCCUCUUUUUGGCUUCUUGUAGGAUUUUCUUCUUAGUUUGAAAGCUCUGGAAUUUGGCAAUUACAUUUCUGGGAGUUGAUUUUUGGGAGUGCAGUAUAGAGGGUGUUCUAUGAACAAUGUCUAUUUUACCUCCUUGUUCAAGAACUUCAGGGCAGUUUUCUUGGAUGAUCAUUUGUAGUAUGGUGUCAUGGUUUCUGUUUAUUUCUGGCUUUUCAGGUAUACCAAUGAUUCUCAAAUUGUCUCUCCUUCCUCUGUUUUCCUGAUCUGUCACCUUGUCAGUGAGAUAUUUUAUGUUUUCUUCUAUUUUGUCAGUCUUUGGACUUUGCUUUAUUAAUUCUUGAUGUUUUCCAAGAUCACUGGUUUCCAGUUGUUCAAUUCUGGUCCUUAAGUCCUGGUUUUCUGUUAUAAUCUUUUGGUUUUCUGCUUUAACCUUUUGGUAUUCAGCUUUGAUUUCUUCAUUUUUUAACCAUUUACCACUUUUGUAACCAAAAGGCUUCCAUCUUUUUGAUAAGGUCCAAUUGAAAUUCUUCCAGGUUGUGGAUAAUUUCUGUUUUUUUAGGUUUUGCCUCUGUUUGAAUUUCUUCCAGUAUUUUCUCUGUAGCCUGGUUUUUUCUUCCAUAAAAAAUCCUUGAAGGUUGCUGUCUUUUUUUUUUAAGGAUUUUGAGGUUCCUAUGCAUAAUUAGUCAUUUUCAUGGAUAUUUUUCCUUCCUUCUUUAGUCAGAAAUCUGAGUGAACUGGGCAGGUUUUCUGUGUAUGGAAUUGAGAAGCAAGGAUUUUGCCUGAGGCAAGCUCUCGAAUCUUCACAGUCCUUUGCAGCUCUUCUCUGUGCUACCUUCCCAGGGGCAUUCAAGUUCUGUGCUCUUCUGUCUGCCUGAGUUUCCAGUCUAGCUGCUUUCAGGGGUAGGUCCCCAGCAGUUCUAGUCAGCUCCCAAGGACCUAGAGGUUCCCCUUGCUCACUCUAGAGGUGUUCCUUUUCUCACUUGUUCUGGUGGGUGCAGUCUCUGACUUGGGCUCCAUAGGAGAGGUGGGGGAUGGUGGAUAGGCUCGUGUUUGGGUGGAAGCUUUUUCACCCUCUUAUAGAUUGGAAAAACCCCAAUCCCACAUACCUUCAAUUCUGCACCCUACUGUAUAGUUCCUCCAUUCUGAAAAUAUUUUUUAAAAUCUUUUGGGGGUAGUCUUUGUCGGUGUGUGCUGGGGAGAGGAAGUGACCCGCAUUUAGACUACCACCACCUUACCCAGAAGGAGGGUUGUUUAUUGAUGACCAUAAUGGCUCUUCCAUUAGAAGAUCCAUCUGUAAAGACCAUAUGGGCAGGAGGGUUAGGGAGUGGGACUGGGGAUGACUAGAAAGGAAGAAUUAUUGCCUGUCUCUUUAAGAAUUGUAAAAGAUGAUUAGAAGGGAUGUGAUAACCAAUGUUUCCAGAAUAUCUUGCUACAGAAACGUGCCAAUCAGUUGAACAGCAAUAAAGAUCAUUUAUCUGUGUAGCAUUUAGAGGUAUAAUGAUGGAGGAGGGAUCUGCACCAAAAAAGUUCUCUGCUUCUUCUAUGGCCUUUUAAAAUAAGUUCAACUAUUAGCCUAACAUAUGAGGAGAUAACUUUCUGAGUAGAAUUUGGUAAAUGUAGCUACUCGAGAGGGGCAUUUCACCACAAACAUUCAGUGGGAGUGUAUAUAGUUGGAAGUUGGAAUUAAUGACCAAGGCAAGUUGUAAUUUAAGUCAGCCAGGUCUGUGUCCUAAAAAUGUGGUCAAGGGGCUAUCGCUUGUCAGCAUGGAAUUUAGGAAUCCCAAACUUGUGGCCUAGUGGGAUCUGAUGAAUCCCAAUUUUAGAUUUAGUUUGUAGAUUGGAGACCCCAAAGAUUGUACUUGUUCCCUGUUACCAUGGGAAUCUACUCUGAAGGGAAAUGAUAAUCCUGGUUGGGUGAGAUAAGCAUAUGCUAAGGAAUUCUUUGUUUUAGGUAGCAUCCCCUAUUGUAUUAGAACCUUUCUCAGGAAGGUCAGACCUGGGCAUGAACCAUCCUUUAGUAACCAUUGUAAGCAGCCCCCUUCUCUUGCAUCCUAGCUUCUAGCUAUGAUUGUCUUGUCAGUGUAGUUUGAACACUCCCAUUUUCCUUGUAGCCAUAGUGAUGUCAAUCAUCUUUCCCUGCCCCUGGAUUUCCAAAGGGUAUAUAGGUUCCCCAAAUUCUUUUGUUCCCUGGAGUCCAUCCUGAGUCGGUGGCACUCCCAGGGGCUAGUGACCAGGGUGUCUUGACUCUGUGCAGUCAUGGGAAGCAUCUCUGUUGUCGUAUUAGUAGCGCUAACCCCUUUUCCCUUGAUUAAAGAGUGAUUUUGACUUUUUAAUAGUUCUGUGUUUUUUCUAGUUGACAUUAAUGGAGAUUCCACCAAGAUCCGAAGUCCCCGCUGCCUGAGCCCUCCAGCUAAUGAGAACCCCAGACUUGAGGUACCUCACAUAACCCAUUUAGGGUUGGGUCAGGAGUCUGGUUAGCAAGGGCCAGGUAAGCGGCUCUCUCAGAGGUAGGACUCGCAUCUCGUGUUUGGGAGAUUUUAAUUAAGGGAUUCUUAGUUGAGCGCCUGUGGGGUACACAGCCGCAUGGUCCAUAGCCACCUGGGCGCUAUUGGACAUGGAUAACAGCUUGUCUGUUGUCCCAAAUAUUGGUGGGGGUGGUCAGCAGGUCAAAGAACCACCUAAUGAUAUGGCCAUUUUAAGGUUUGAGAAGAUGAGAAGAUGGCAGAGUUUGGCCCCAACACGUAUUGGACAACAUGGAAUCUAAUUCAACUUGGCUUCAAUAUCUGAGUUUAAUUAGAUUUUGUGUGUGUGUGUGUUGGUGCCUGUGUGAGUGCAACAGUGUCUAUGCUAGAGGUGAGGGCAAGGAGAGCUGGUCAGAAGCACAAAUGGUUGGCUGAAAGCUUUGAAUGGGAAGCUUGAGCUGGAGUGUGAGAGCCUGAGUGUUCAAUUGAGGGUCUGAGUAACUGCUUUAAAUUGACUAAAAUAGAGAAAUUUUCUUCAUGAAUUGAGAUGCCAUGGCUUAAGGUUUAAAUGGUUAUAAAGUUUUGCAAAUAAAAAAAAAAAGCUUCUCAUAGAAGCUUAAGAACUUAAGUUCUGGAUUUCUUCUCAAAAUUUUUCUGUGGGUUUUUGCUUGUAUUAUAUGUCUAAUGGAUUUCUUAGGCAGAGACUUCGCUAAUAACUUCAAAUGCUUGUGAUUUAAAUGUUAGCCAAUAAUAUCUGUAAGUUGUUAACAAUGAAUUCCUCCCAAAAGUUGAAGAGGAGAGCCUGGAGCUGUGAUCUGGAUAUGUGAAUAUCCCACAGGAGGCAAAAGGAGGUCCAGAAAUUCUUAACUUUAAGGUCUAAUUUUUCUUCCCAAAGUUUUGGUUUGGUUAAUGUGUGAAAUAUUGUGUAUCAAGUGCAGUUAAUAUUGGUAACAAGGUGCAUUUUAUUCUAGGUACUAACCUGGUUAUUUGAGUGCUAUCAUUUCCCAUUUUUUAGGCUGUUAAUUAUUUUCAAAUAGCAAGAUGUGUGUGAGUUCUGGAGUAAAGAAAUUUCAUUUUAGGAUGGUCAACUGCAGACCUAACUGGUCACUGAAUUGGUGUAAAUGACGAGAAAUAUUGGUGAAAACGUAUUGCUUUAAAGGGCAAGGAAAUCCUGAAUAUUUUAAACUGACCCAACAAAUUUCCUCUUUAGGAGUGGCUUUAGCCUUAGGCCAAAGUGGUUUGAGGCAAGGAUAAGAGAAAGGCAAACUUGGAGCCAAAAGUAAAUUAGAGCAAAAAAAAAAAAGGAAUUGUAGAAGUAUUCAGAGUUAAAGGUGACUUUUACGUUUUCUUAAUAAUCCUAAGUUUUGUGUUUGGAGAAAAAUGGGAUGGGUUUUGGUUUUUUUAAAGGUAAAAAGAGUCAUGGACUACAACCUGAUUUUUGAACUUUUAAGGUAAAUUUCCAGAUUGCAGCCAUUACAAUAGAAAAGUUGUUUAAAGUCCAGUGAUUACUGUUAACUAAUUUUACUUUUUAAGUGGAGAGAACUAAUGGUUUUGUGAGCAUUAUUUCUGAUGGAUCUUUGGCAUAUGACCACUAAUAAAGGAAUUUAUCACCUGGGAAACGAAAUUUUUUAGGAAUGUCCUGUAUUUUACCACCCCUGUUCUGAAGUGUGGGCGAAGUGAUUAAAACCUAUUAAAGUUUUAUUUCAAGAUGCUUCUUAGGAGCCCAAAGCCUGGACCAGAUUUUCCUGUAGCCUAGAAUCUGAAGGAUUCCUGAAGAAGACCUCUCUAUGAGAAAUCCAAAGGAGCCCCAAGAUAUUGGAUCUGGAUAAGUAUUGUUUCUCAUCAUUUUCAUCGACUAGAAAUGUUUCUGUAGCAUACAUAAAACUGGCCAUUUUAUUUCCCUGAGAAUUCUAUUUACCCUGAGCAAAGUCCCUUUAUGUAGAGAACCUAGAAAGGACAGAGCUAUUCCCCAAACUUAGUUGAAAUAGGAAAAGUUUAACAUUUCAAUUUCUUUCUUUAAAUCUUCCACUGAUGUAUCGUCUUCCUCAGGUCUUUUUACAUGACCUUUAUAAACAUAGGUUGCUACUCUCCUUAGUUCAUCAAGGUCCAUAGAGUCCCAAUUAGGACAGCUAGUUCUAAAGUAGUCUUUUACCACUGAACAACAAUUCUUAACAAAUUGCCUACGUAUUUGUCUAAUGUCUCUUUCUCUGGAUAAAUCAAGGUCCAUAUAUGUAUUCCCUAUGUCAAUAAGUCUGUCCAUAAACUGGGAGGGUGUUUCAUCGAUAUGUUGUCGGGUUUUUUCAAAUUUUGACCAUUUUUCAGGUCUAUCAGAGCAAGUUCUCAUGGCUGUCAAUAAUGCUUCUCUGGCCUGGUUUAGUUUUGUGUAAUCUAAUUCAACAUUGGGGUUCCAAUGUGGAUCUUCAGUUGGCCAAAAAUAUCCUCUUCUACCUCAUUUUUGAUUAGCCAGAGAGACAAUUUUAUUUUUUCUCUCUCUUUUUUAAUAAUUCUUCUAAUAUAUUCUCAACAUCCAACCAAGUGGGGCCAAAAUUUCUGAAUAUGUUCUCUAAUUUUUUUAUAAUUAAUAUUGGUUCAUCCUCAAAUGAUGGCAUAUCUUCCUUCAAUUUUUUUAAAUCCUCAGGGGUAAAAGGUGUAUGAUGUCUUACAGAUAUCAAGUUUCCAUUUUUUUUAAAGUGGGUACUUCCCUUAAAGGAAAUAAACUUUCUAAAUUAUUUGGUACUCUUGUUUCUAGGCUUCUUGCUCCAUUUUCAAUUGGGUAAGUCUGAGAAAUAGAAAAGUUGGGCACAUUAAAAGGAAGGGUUUGUUGUUGUCCCAUUGUGUCAGAAAAUUCAGAGGUAGGAUGUGAAUUUAGGUUGGAAUGUGAACUUAAAGGAGAUUGUGUAGGAUGAGAAGGAGGGGCCAAGGAAGAAGUGUGAAAGGAUACAGAGGUGUUUGGAUUGGAGGAAUCAGUAAGGUGUGAAGUAGAGGGAUUAAGAUCAGAAGUACCGGUAGGGUGUGAAUUUAGAGUUGAUUGUGUUGGGUCAGAAGCGUGGGUGGGGUGUGAAUUCAGAGUUGGUUGAUUAGAGUUAGAGUUUUCUGAGGCCAAGGGGGUGGGGGUGGGGUUCGUUAAGAGGGUUAUUGUCCAUAGCAGGGUGGGACAGAGAUUCUGAUAUUGUUCUUAACUCUCUGUUAAUGCUUCUUAUAAAAGUUACAAUCUCUCCCUGACCUUCCUCUAUAAGAUCCUGUCUAGUAUUUAGUUUUUCAAUUUGUUGAAUAUGAGAGGGAGCAAUUGGUUGGUUUGACUGAGAAUUGAGUUCUUCAAGGAAAUACAAUAUUAAAAUUAUAACAAUCAAAAACCCAAGGGAAAGUAGUAUGUUGAUUAGAUUUUGCCAUAAGUUCCAUGUGAUGAGCCCUUUCAGAGAGACAAGGAAUUCUGUAUUUAUAAGAUUGGUCAUGGGGCUGAUAAGCCAGCUGCUAAGUAAGCUGCAGACCAAUGCUUGUACUAAGAAAAGAACAAAGUAUUUACUGAAACUCCAGUUAUUAAUUAAGUUCUGAACUGUCUGUGUCUGAACUGUCUGUGACUCCAUAUUUCUAAAGUAAAAACAUGGGAAGUAGGACAAGGCCAAAAGGUUUUCCCAGGUUUUUCUAAUCCUAAAUUAGGCAAUUGCUAGCCAGGAUCUUAGGGCCCUGUUGUUAAGAUCUAAAACAGCUUAAAUUAAGAAGAAUCAAAAAGGCUUUUUACUCACCCAUUCUUGCAGCUGUAAUUUGAAGUCAAGUUAAAAAAGAAAUCAAAACUGACUGAUAUGCAAGUUGUAAGGCAAAGAGAUAAAGAAAAGAGAUUUCACAGAAGCCUUUUGAGGGUUUCUCAACAACUUCGUAAGGUUGCCAUAAACUGUGAGAUUUAAAAUGGUUUAUUUCUUAAACUGUAGUGAUUAAAAUAGUGGAAGAUAUAAAUUGUGAUAGAUAUAAGAGAGGGUGAGUAAAUUUGACCACAGAAAUAUGUUUCACUACAGUGUCUUGGGUUUAAAAUCAAAUAUAAGGUCGUUGCCAGGGAAAUAUUCCCAAUUAUUCAAAUACCCAAGUCAAUUGGGUUUUAUAGAGAUUUUUAAUUAACAAUACAAUGAGUAAUCAAAGAAAGAGAGAGAGAGAGAGUAAGAAAGGAAUAAGUAUGAAGGGCCUCAAGCCAAUAUGGCCUAGACCUGAGCCUUAAGAGAGAAAUCAGUCAGUUUUUUAUAACUUACCAUAAGAUCUGUCUAAGUAAGGAUUUCUAAUGAUGCCAGGCCAUCAGCGUCUCAGCUACUUUCACCAGCUCCCUCCUCCAUCUGAAUGUUUCAGAAUCAGUCUCCUCAGAAUGAGUCUCUCCAAUCUGAAUGUUUCAGAAUGACUUUCUCAGCUCUUCCCUGAGCUCUUAUUUUUAAGGACAAAAUCUUCUCUGUCACCUCCCCUAAGUCCUUACAUCUACCAAUCACUGUAGAUGGUUCUAAAGGACUGCCUAUUUUGAAUUCACAGCUGAGUAGUUUUAAUCUCUUUCGUAAGUCAGGAAAAAAUGCUGCUGUGUCGAAUAAUUUCAUUAGAAAAAACCUCUGAAUAAGUUAUCAGCCUUUUAGGUUUAAGUAGUUUACAAGUUGCCCCACCUUUAUAGGUACUUAGUAUCCCAUUGUAUCAAUUCUAAAACAGUCAUGACUCAAAGAACUUCCUGUCCCUUCCAUAAGCAUGGAUCAAAGUACUUUUCAUUGUUCUCAAGGAGCUCUCUGUCCUAAAGCAGUCCUAAGUAGGGUGGAGUAGGGAUAUUCCCAAGGCAAGGAGCCCCCACACUCAAGUAGAGUUCUCACCAUCUGCUAGGGAACUUUUUUUAAGUAGAAGAUUCCCCAAUGGGGGAAACCCAUAACAUUCAUAAGUCUGAGAAAUUUUGAGGUUUACAGCAGCAUAGAUAAUCCUUGUAGUGAAUAAGCAUAUAUGGAAUUGAUCAAGACCUGUUAAAGAAUGUGUUUAUGGAUUUCUCUUACUUUUCUCUUGCAGCAGCAAGGAAGCUGGCUGAUACCAAAGGAGGAGUCUGCCAGAGGACAGAAGUCUGCGAGAGGAGGCUGAAGGCAUCAUCAGGACCCACCAGAUGUGAACGACUUAAGACUUUGGGAAUUGGGGCUAAGGUCCAUGACCAAGGUGACCCAGCCCUGGACUGAGUCUUUCCCUUUUGUGUCCUCUGUGGUGCAGUGGAUAGUGUCAGGUCUAGAGUCAGGAAGAUUCAUCUUUUUCAUCGAAGUAAUGGUCUUCAAAACCCAGCUACGAUGGUCUGGACACAUCAUCCGCAUGGACCCACAACGAAUACCAAGACAGGUAUUCUAUGGUGAACUGUCAGCUGGACUCAGGAAAUAAGGUUGACCAAAGAAAAGAUUCAAGGAUCAGCUAAAGUCAAACUUGAAGUGGGCUGGCAUUACACCAAAGCAACUAGAACCCGCUGCCUCUGACAAAAGCAGCUGGCAUACCCACAUUCACCAUGCCGCCACAACCUUUGAAGAUGAGCGACAUCGACAUCUCGCCGCUGUGCGUGAACGCCGACACCAGGCCACAACCGCACCUCCUGUAACAACUGGCGUCCCAUGCCCCAUGUGCCACAAACUCUGUGCCUCAGCCUUUGGACUUCAAAGCCACAUGAGGGUACAUCAAUAGAUGAUAAUGCACAAAGACAAUUGUCAUUCUCGGUCAUCUAGAGACUACCACUACUACCAUUGUAGGGCAUCAGCCCCUCACUAUUAUUCCUGUCUGGAACUCCUCAUUUUCCUUUCUCACCAUUGUAAAGUCAAUCAACUGUCCCUCUAAUCCUAAAGCCCCCAGGUCAUCUAGAGUGGUUCCCCAAGUUCUUUUGUUCCCUGGAGUCCAUAUUGAGUCAGUGGCACUCCCAGGGGCUAGUGACCAGGGCGUCUUUACUCUGUGCAGUCUUGGGAAGCAACUCUGUUGUUGUAUUAGUAGCGCUAACCCCUUUUCCCUUGAUUAAAGAGUGAUUUUUGACUA